GACUCGGAUUUGCGCAAUUUCGACACCUAAACCCUGUCAGGACGGAAGUAGCAGCAGUAUUAAGAUGCUUGGGGUAGGCGCAAACACCGGGUCUUU
rnacentral:SRP_RNA from 1 species